UACGGGGGGGGGCAAGCGUUGUUCGGAAUUACUGGGCGUAAAGGGCUCGUAGGCGGCCAACUAAGUCAGACGUGAAAUCCCUCGGCUUAACCGGGGAACUGCGUCUGAUACUGGAUGGCUUGAGUUUGGGAGAGGGAUGCGGAAUUCCAGGUGUAGCGGUGAAAUGCGUAGAUAUCUGGAGGAACACCGGUGGCGAAGGCGGAUCUCUGGGCCUUACCUGACGCUCAGGCGCGAAAGCUAGGGGAGCGAACAGG
rnacentral:rRNA from 1 species